UGCCAAAGCCUUUUUGCUGGAAGAGCUGAAUAAUCCUUUGAUCUGGAUGAUGGAGGAGGAGAAAUAAAAAGGAAACAGCUUCUGUUUAACUACAGGCAACUAAGUGGGGAAAUGCUUGUUACUGCAAUCAAAGUUUGUUGUGCCUGCAGUCUCACUGCUACAAAUGCCCCCAUCCACUGAACUACAAAUAUUCAGCCCAAACUGUGGCCUGUUCAGAGCACCUGUAUUUUCUUUAAUCCUGAAGAAAAGGUCUGGACAAAAGGAUUUCUGAAUUGUGCCUCAGAUUAGUUUGCCUCUGAAACUCCUGCACUGUUGGCCAGAGCUGACCUCACAGUACUGCAACUAUGCUAGUACAGAAAUGGCUUUGCUCGAGGGUGAGGCAGACCAGAAGAAAACAUUUUAGGAUGACAAAUAAUCAGCUUAUAGAAAUGAUCCUGAAGAUUCUGAUCUCUUCCUCAGACAACAGGCACGAAGAAUUUCCAUUUUGGAUGCACAAAAAAUUCUUCAAACGCAGGACUGUAAGAAAGCUUCUAUUUGUACCUGUAGCUGUGGCUGUCACACAGUGCUUGGUAAAUGGACGCAGAAAGAGAAGCUGCUAAAGAAUGAAGAGUGUACACCUAAAAUAAAAAGAGCUGGAGUCUCCCAGUAACAGGAAUAAUACUACUAUGAGCUUACAGUGCAACAGAAACACUCCAUUUCUUAAAAAGAGGAAGAAAUGCAAGAACUUCUUGGUAACACAGAUGGAGGCCAAAUUGUUUUGAAAAUGGGUUAUUUAUUCUCUUCUACUGCUGUCUACACCGUACGGACAAGAUUUCACAAGGACAGAUGUUAAAAUGCCUGCUUUGGGUGUUCUUCUGUGGAGGACUCGGAGAUGUAACCGCAUCAGAUUUGGCUGACUAAUGUAAGUAAGUUUUGCUCUGGGAUUCAGCAAACUUUCUGCAGCUUUUUAAAAACUCAGUUUUCCAACAAACGACUUAGAAAUUCAGUAAACUAUCAAGUACUUCUGUUCCACAAACACUGAGAGGGUACAUUAUUUGUUGUAAUCCAAAGCAAGGAGUAGUAAUAAAUCAAAUCCAUCAAACUUGGCAAGAAAGCUGAAAUUUUUACUAAAGUAAGAAUUUAAAUCUCAUUUGUACCUACAGGAAACAUUAUAAAGUAGCAUCUGAAAUGCAUACUGCGUGUUAUCUAUUAUCAGAGCUCCCAUAA